rnacentral:rRNA from 1 species
AUGCACGCUGGCGGCGUGCCUCAUCCCUGCCAGUCGAGCGAACAGACGAGGAGCUUACUCCUCUGACGUUAGCGGCGGACGGGUGAGUAACACGUGGAUAACCUACCUAUAAGACUGGGAUAACUUCGGGAAACCGGAGCUAAUACCGGAUAACAUGUUGAACCGCAUGGUUCAACAGUGAAAGACGGUCUUGCUGUCACUUAUAGAUGGAUCCGCGUCGCAUUAGCUAGUUGGUAAGGUAACGGCUUACCAAGGCAACGAUGCGUAGCCGACCUGAGAGGGUGAUCGGCCACACUGGAACUGAGACACGGUCCAGACUCCUACGGGAGGCAGCAGUAGGGAAUCUUCCGCAAUGGGCGAAAGCCUGACGGAGCAACGCCGCGUGAGUGAAGAAGGUCUUCGGAUCGUAAAACUCUGUUAUUAGGGAAGAACAAAUGUGUAAGUAACUAUGCACGUCUUGACGGUACCUAAUCAGAAAGCCACGGCUAACUACGUG